rnacentral:rRNA from 1 species
CAGUCGCCGCGGGAAUACGUAGGGUGCGAGCGUUAAUCGGAAUUACUGGGCGUAAAGCGUGCGCAGGCGGUUCGUUAAGACAGAUGUGAAAUCCCCGGGCUUAACCUGGGAACUGCAUUUGUGACUGGCGAGCUAGAGUAUGGCAGAGGGGGGUAGAAUUCCACGUGUAGCAGCGAAAUGCGUAGAGAUGUGGAGGAAUACCGAUGGCGAAGGCAGCCCCCUGGGCCAACACUGACGCUGAGGCACGAAAGCAUAGGGAGCAAACAGGAUUAGAGACCCGAGUAGUCCCUGUCUCUUAUAC